AACGAACGCUGGCGGCAGGCUUAACACAUGCAAGUCGAGCGCCCCGCAAGGGGAGCGGCAGACGGGUGAGUAACGCGUGGGAACGUACCCUUUGCUACGGAAUAGCUCCGGGAAAAUGGAAUUACUACCGCAUGUGCCCUACGGGGGAAAGAUUUAUCGGCAAAGGAUCGGCCCGCGUUGGAUUAGCAAGUUGGUGGGGUAAUGGCAAACCAAGGCUACGAUCCAUAGCUGUUCUGAGAGGAUGAUCAGCCACAUUGGGACUGAGACACGGCCCAAACUCCUACGGGAGGCAGCAGUGGGGAAUAUUGGACAAUGGGCGCAAGCCUGAUCCAGCCAUGCCGCGUGAGUGAUGAAGGCCUUAGGGUUGUAAAGCUCUUUCACCGGAGAAGAUAAUGACGGUAUCCGGAGAAGAAGCCCCGGCUAACUUCGUGCCAGCCGCCGCAGUAAUAC
rnacentral:rRNA from 1 species